GGGCGGCUGGCGCAAUGGUAGCGCGUUGCUCUCCUACAGGAGUUGCAAAGCAAAGGUUGCAGGUUCGAGUCCUGCGUUGCUCG
rnacentral:tRNA from 1 species